CUCUUCCGUUAUUAAAACCGGCGAAGACAUCUCUAUCUCCCCACAGGAUUCACCUCUCCCUCUUCCUCCCUCUGCCGUCGCCGCCGCAACAACUCCCGCCGUCACCGAAGCUUUAAUCGAAAAAACCGAGGAGCAAAGGUUGAGCUAUUUGGAUUCUGUGAUUGGUUUCCAUUCCUGAAAAUAACCACACAAUAUCACUAUAAAAUAUCAAGUAAAAUAUAUGGUCACAUUAAAAGGGAAAAAGAAGUCAUGAACUCACAUCCCAGGAGUGCUAUUUCUUGAAGGCAAAUU
rnacentral:lncRNA from 1 species